UACGGAAGGUGCGAGCGUUAAUCGGAAUAACUGGGCGUAAAGCGCACGCAGGCGGUCUGUCAAGUCGGAUGUGAAAUCCCCGGGCUCAACCUGGGAACUGCAUCCGAGACUGGCAGGCUAGAGUCUGGUAGAGGGGGGUAGAAUUCCGGGUGUAGCGGUGAAAUGCGUAGAGAUCCGGAGGAAUACCGGUGGCGAAGGCGGCCCCCUGGACAUGGACUGACGCUCAGGUGCGAAAGCGUGGGGAGCAAACAGG
rnacentral:misc_RNA from 1 species